AUCAGCCUUUUGGGUGUGAUUUUGUGGAACGUGAGCGAGUUAAACGCCUUCGUGCCUGCAUAUUCGCGCACUUUGGGUGUACUUGCCCGUGUGGAUGGAUAACAUCCAUUUUGCUUAUAAAAAAAUGACUGGAGGAAUGUAGCUUCGAUCUCGUAUUGAAGUGUUAUAGCCUUCGGUAGAUGUGAUGAUCGAGAUUGAGGAUUGCAACGGAUACCCUUCGGGGCUACCUGUCUGGUCUCUGAUCGUUGCUCUGGUGCCGAAAGCUUGCUUACGGUUAUCAAAGUCGAUGGUCAAUAGGUUAGAACGGGUUAAAUUCGUUAAGGAUGUUGACGUAAUGGCUUU
rnacentral:rRNA from 1 species